AUCUUCCCCAAUUUUGUGAAUUAGGGCUUGUGAAAAAUGAUGAAAAUUUCGUUACCGGACUGCCUGAUCGCCGAUUAAUCGGCGACCUUGUUUGCUGUUCGCUGUUCGGUUUUGUAUGGAAACUCGGAGCCGGAAACGAACGGAGGCCACGUCAUCAGCGCCUUCUGCUUCUUCUCCUUCAUCAGGUCCCACCACACGCGCUGUUAAGAGAGCUCGUUUUACCACACGCGCCGCCUCAAACUCGAUCUCAGCUCGUUCCCGACUCACAAAUCGUUCCCAAGACCAACAAUCGAUGGACUCCACGAAUGAAUCAUCCGGGUCGGGCAGCCGAACCAGGCGGGGAAAGAAUCACGGGGCAGAUAGAAAUAAUCCGGAGAAGGGUAAGGAGAAAGAGCACGAAAUUAGGGAUAGAGACAGAGAUAUGGGAUUGAACAUGGAUACUGAUGGGGGUGAUGAAGAUGAUAAUGAAAGUGAAGGUGGUGCUGGGAUUUUGCAACAUAAUUUGACUUCAGCAAGUAGUGCACUUCAAGGAUUGUUGAGAAAAUUGGGUGCUGGUUUGGAUGAUUUACUGCCGAGUUCAGCAAUGGUGUCCGCUUCCUCGUCCCAACAGAAUGGGCGUCUGAAGAAGAUAUUAUCGGGCUUGAGAGCUGAUGGGGAAGAAGGGAAGCAAAUAGAGGCAUUGACGCAGCUUUGUGUGAUGCUUUCCAUUGGGACAGAAGACUCUUUGAGCACUUUUUCAGUGGACUCGUUUGUACCUGUCCUGGUGGGGUUGCUUAAUCAUAUGAGUAAUCCUGAUAUUAUGCUUCUCGCAGCUAGGGCGUUAACCCAUUUGGUUGAUGUUCUGCCAUCUUCUUGUGCUGCUGUUGUGCACUAUGGAGCGGUUUCAUGUUUUGUAGCUCGCUUACUCACGAUUGAAUACAUGGACUUAGCUGAACAGUCUCUACAAGCUUUAAAGAAGAUAUCUCAAGAAGAUCCAACUGCUUGUUUGCAAGCAGGUGCACUCAUGGCUGUGCUAUCGUAUCUCGAUUUCUUUUCCACUGGUGUUCAGAGAGUAGCACUAGCAACUGCUGCAAAUAUGUGCAAGAAGCUGCCUUCGGAUGCUGCUGACUUUGUGAUGGAAGCUGUUCCAUUGUUGACGAAUCUCCUUCAGUAUCAUGAUGCGAAGGUAUUAGAGCAUGCUUCUAUCUGCUUGACCCGGAUUGCUGAAGCAUUUGCAUCAUCUCCAGAAAAGCUAGAUGAACUCUGUAAUCACGGACUUGUCACACAGGCUGCCUCCCUCAUCUCAACCAGUAAUUCUGGAGGUGGUCAGGCUUCACUCAGCACAGAAACUUACACAGGCUUGAUCCGGCUUCUUUGUACUUGUGCCAGUGGCUCUCCAUUAGGGGCUAAAACCUUGAUGAUGCUUGGUAUCAGCGGGAUCCUCAAGGACAUUUUAUCAGCCUCUGUCUCUAUUUCACCUGCCAUGAGCAGACCUGCGGAGCAGAUUUUUGAGAUUGUGAAUCUUGUAAAUGAACUACUUCCUCCGCUGCCUCAAGGAACCAUCUCUCUUCCCGUUAGCACAAAUUUGUUCAUUAGAGGUCCUUUUACGAGGAAAUCCUCUGCUAGGGGUUCUAGCAAACAGGAGGAUCUGAAUGCAUCUCCUCAGGAGGUAUCAGCUCAUGAGAAACUAUUGAAUGAUCAACCUGCACUUCUGCAACAAUUUGGAAUGGAUCUCCUUCCUGUUCUGAUCCAGACAUAUGGAUCCAGUGUAAAUACAGCAGCACGCCACAAAUGCCUCUCAGUUAUUGGAAAACUUAUGUAUUUCAGUAAUGCAGAUAUGAUUCAGUCUUUAAUUAAUGACACUAACUUGUCAAGUUUCUUGGCUGGGGUUUUGGCGUGGAAGGAUCCCCAAGUAUUGGUCCCCGCUCUUCAAAUAGCAGAGAUUCUAAUGGAGAAGCUCCCUAGAGUUUUUGGCAAGAUGUUUGUCCGGGAAGGUGUUGUUCAUGCUGUAGAUGCCUUGAUGUUGUCUGGGUUUCAUGUUUCUGCCCCUCCCCAUCCAACACGUGCUGAGAAGGAGAAACAUAAUAGACGCCGUAGCACUAAUUCCAAUACAGAUGCAAUUUCUGUUGAAGAUCUUACAAGUCCAGUUCCAAGUACUGGAUCUUUGCCAAAUUCGAUAGAAAUUCCGACUGUCAAUUCUAGCCUUCGGAUGUCAGUCAGUACAUGUGCAAAAGCUUUCAAGGAUAAAUACUUCCCAUCAGAUUCUGAGGCUGCUGAAGCUGGUGUCACAGAUGAUCUUAUACAAUUGAAGAAUCUCUGCAUGAAGUUGAAUUCUGGUAUUGAUGAGCAGAUAGCUAAACCUAAAGGAAAAUCCAAAACAUUUGGCCCUCAGCUUGGGGAUAGUUCUGUUGGAAAAGAAGAAAACUUGGCUGAAGUGAUAGCUGCCAUGAUGGGGGAACUCAGCAAAGGGGACGGUGUUUCAACUUUUGAGUUCAGUGGAAGUGGAGUUGUUGCUUCUUUGCUGAAAUAUUUUACGUUUGCGUACCUUUCUAAGGAAAGAAUCUCUGAUACUAGUAUGUCUAGGCUUCGACAAAAAGCAAUCAGAAGAUACAAGUCUUUUAUUGCAGUUGCCCUUCCUGCUGGUGUUGAUGGUGGAAGUAUGGUUCCCAUGACUGUUCUGGUCCAAAAGCUUCAAAAUGCUCUAUGUUCGUUGGAGCGUUUUCCUGUUGUGUUAAGUCAUAGUUCCAGAUCAUCGACAGGAAAUGCACGUCUUUCUUCAGGUUUAAGUGUUUUGUCUCAGCCUUUUAAGCUGCGCCUUUGCAGAGCUCAAGGAGAGAAAACCCUCCGUGACUACUCUUCAAAUGUUUUGCUGAUUGAUCCUUUGGCAAGUUUAGUUGCUAUUGAAGAAUUCCUCUGGGCCCGAGUUGAGCGACCUGAGGCUGAACAGAAGGCCUCUGCUUCUGCUGGAAACUCUGGGUCUGGGACUAUACCUGCUGGAGGCAGUGCGUCAUCUCCAUCUAUGUCCACUCCGGCCUCUGCAUCUCGUCGUCAUUCUGCUCGAUCAAGGUCAGCAGUUAAUAUUAAUGAAAGUGAUGGAAGCUCUUCAAAGGGCAAAGGUAAAGCGGUUUUGAAGCCUGCUCAAAAAGAUGGCAGAGGAAUUCGAUCAAGAGAUCCUGCUAGAAUGAGAGCUGCCUUGGCGAAAGCCUUAGGAGAGGAGAAACCUGGUGACGGGGAGACUAGUUCAGAGGAUGAUGAGCUGCAUCCUUCUCUCAUUGAACUUGAUGAUGCUUUGGUGAUUGAGGACGAUAUGUCCGACGAAGAUGAAGACGACCAUGAUGAUGUGCUGAGGGAUGAUCCUCUUCCUAUCUGCAUGGCAGAUGAAGUGCAUGAUGUUAAAUUGGGAGACUCUUCGGAGGAUAGCCCUUUUGCACAGACACCAACUGGUAGCAAUACAAAUGCUGCUGGUGGUUCUAGGAGCAGAAUUGCUUCUGCUCGGGGAUCUGAUUCUGUUGAGUUCAGAAGUAGGAAUUCCUAUGGUUCAAGAGGGGCAAUGUCAUUUGCUGCUGCUGCCAUGGCUGGUCUUUCAUCUGCUAGUGUUAGAGGUGUGAGGGGCGCUAGAGAUCGACAUGGGCAUCCUCUACUCAGCUCUGGUGAUCCACCAAAACUAAUAUUUUCUGUUGGUGGGAAGCCGCUUAAUAGGCAGUUGACUAUCUACCAGGCUAUCCAGCGGCAGCUUGUUCUAGACGAGGAUGAUGAUGAGAGAUAUGGUGGCAAUGAUUUUGUAUCUAGUGACGGAAACAGGGUUUGGAGUGAUAUUUACACUAUCACAUACCAGAGGGCAGACAACCAAGCUGAGAGGUCGAGUGGGUCUGGGAGUUCAAUUUCCAAGUCUAUGAAAACCAGUUCUUCAACAAGUUCCAGUGCUGAUCCUUCAUUGGUUCGAGCAUCAUUGUUAGAUAGUAUAUUGCAGGGAGAACUUCCUUGUGAUCUGGAGAAAAGUAACCCUACUUACAGUAUUUUGUACCUCUUACGUGUAUUGGAGGCGCUGAAUCAGCUUGCCCCCCGUUUGCGAGUCCUGUCCAUGAUUGAUGAUUUCUCUGAAGGAAAAAUUUCUAGUCUAGAUGAGCUCAGUACUACGGGUAUCAAAAUUCCUUCUGAGGAAUUUGUCAAUAGUAAGCUCACUCCGAAAUUGGCACGACAGAUCCAGGAUGCUCUUGCACUUUGUAGUGGAUCUCUUCCAUCUUGGUGUUACCAGUUGACCAAGGCCUGCCCAUUUCUUUUUCCAUUUGAGACUCGGCGCCAGUACUUCUAUUCAACUGCUUUUGGGCUGUCACGUGCUUUAUAUAGGCUGCAGCAACAGCAAGGUGCUGAUGGUAAUGGGUCUACUCAUGAGAGAGCAGUUAGGGUUGGCAGAUUACAGCGCCAGAAAGUUCGUGUCUCAAGGAACCGCAUUCUGGAUUCUGCUGCAAAAGUAAUGGAGAUGUACUCUAGCCAAAAAGCUGUUCUUGAAGUUGAAUAUUUUGGUGAAGUUGGUACUGGCCUGGGUCCUACACUGGAGUUUUAUACCCUUAUAAGUCACGAUCUACAGAAACUUGGACUUGGAAUGUGGAGAUCUGGUUUAUCAUUAACUUCAAAUGAACAUUCUAUGGAAGUUCAUAUAGAUAAUAAAUUAAGUAGGAGUGAUAGAGAUCUUGUCCAAGCACCUCUUGGAUUAUUCCCACGUCCCUGGUCACCACAUACUGGUACUGUUGAUGGAGGUCAAUUCUGUAAGGCAAUUGAAUAUUUCCGCUUGCUUGGACGUGUUAUGGCGAAAGCUCUUCAAGAUGGACGGCUUUUGGACCUUCCACUGUCCAUGGCCUUCUAUAAGCUUGUUCUUGGCCAAGAACUUGAUUUGUACGAUAUUCUUUCUUUUGACGCCGAAUUGGGGAAGACUUUGCAAGAGUUGCAAGCCCUUGUCAGUCGAAAGCAAUAUAUAGAAUCAAUAAAAGAUCAGAACCUGGACAAAUCUUAUGACAUGCGUUUUCGUGGGACUCCAGUUGAGGAUCUUUGUUUAGAUUUCACACUUCCUGGCUAUCCUGAAUAUGUUCUUAAAGCAGGCGAUGAGAAUGUGGAUCUCAGUAACUUGGAGGAGUACAUUUCUUUGGUAGUUGAUGCUACUGUCAAAACUGGAAUCAGGCAGCAAAUGGAGGCUUUUAGAUCUGGCUUCAAUCAGGUUUUCGACUUUUCAGCUCUGCAAAUAUUCUCUCCUUCAGAGUUAGACUAUCUAUUAUGUGGCCGUAGAGAGCUGUGGAAGCCUGAGACGCUAGUAGAUCACAUUAAAUUCGAUCAUGGAUUCACAUCCAAGAGUCCUCCCAUUAUUCAUUUACUAGAGAUUAUGGGAGAGUUCACACCUGAGCAGCAACGAGCAUUCUGCCAGUUUGUCACUGGUGCACCUCGGCUCCCCGCAGGUGGUCUUGCUGCUCUGAAUCCUAAGUUGACAAUUGUGAGGAAGCAUUCAUCUAGUGCUGGCAAUGCAGCACACAGCAGUAAUGCCCCAUCAGAAUCUGCAGAUGAAGACCUGCCCAGUGUGAUGACAUGUGCUAAUUACUUGAAACUCCCUCCCUAUUCUACUAAGGAGAUCAUGUCCAAGAAGUUACUCUAUGCCAUUAAUGAAGGUCAAGGAUCGUUUGAUUUGUCAUAAGUCAAAGUGACUAAUAGACUUGUUUAUACAACUCAACAGAAUUGGUGCUUCUGAUCCUUGAUAAUGGUGCCGUCAAACCAUCCUCUUCAAACUAACAAUAGCAAGCUGACAUGGAAGCGUUGUUCAAGAUUUCUCCAGGGUUCUUUCUGCUGCUGUGAAGCUUGUUCAAGUUUUCUGCAGGAGUAACUUGUUUUGUAAAUGUUAGUAAAUACGUAGCAAGAUUCUUCUUUCAUUUUUGAUUUAUUAAGUUGGUGAAGUACAUAAAUGUAAGGUCACAAUGUUGCCUUCUUCCCUUUGCUUCUCUUAGAUUUAAAAUUAUACACCUUU